CCCUUAGAUGUCCUGGGCCGCACGCGCGCUACACUGAGUGUCUGAGAUACGAGUCUGCCUGGUCCGGCAAGGUCUAGGUAAUCGCUAAAAGACACAUCAUGCUUGGGAUAGAUUAUUGCAAAUAUUAAUCUUGAACGAGGAAUUCCUAGUAAGCGCAAGUCAACAGCUUGCGUUGAUUACGUCCCUGCCCUUUGUACACACCGCCCGUCGCUACUACUGAUUGGAUGUUUAAGCGAGGUUCUCGAACUGCUAGCGACUUAGCUUCGGUGAGGUCGCAGCGUGGGAAGUGAACCGAGCUUUGGUGUCUAGAGGAAGUAAAAGUCGUAACA
rnacentral:rRNA from 1 species